UACAGAGGGGGCAAGCGUUGUUCGGAAUUACUGGGCGUAAAGGGCGCGUAGGCGGCCUGCUAAGUCGAACGUGAAAUCCCUGGGCUCAACCCAGGAACUGCGUCCGAUACUGGUUGGCUUGAAUCCGGGAGAGGGGUGCAGAAUUCCAGGUGUAGCGGUGAAAUGCGUAGAUAUCUGGAGGAAUACCGGUGGCGAAGGCGGCAUCCUGGACCGGCAUUGACGCUGAGGAGCGAAAGCCAGGGGAGCAAACGGG
rnacentral:rRNA from 1 species